rnacentral:rRNA from 1 species
UACGUAGGGUGCAAGCGUUGUCCGGAAUUAUUGGGCGUAAAGAGCUCGUAGGCGGUUUGUUGCGUCGGCUGUGAAAUCCUGAGGCUCAACCUCAGGCCUGCGCGGGAUACUGCUUGGCUAGAGUCCGGAAGAGGAGAGUGGAAUUCCUGGUGUAGCGGUGGAAUGCGCAGAUAUCAGGAGGAACAUCCGUGGCGAAGGCGGCUCUCUGGGACGGUACUGACGCUGAGACGCGAAAGCGUGGGGAGCGAACAGG